rnacentral:rRNA from 1 species
UAGGGAAUCUUCCACAAUGGACGCAAGUCUGAUGGAGCAACGCCGCGUGAGUGAAGAAGAUCUUCGGAUCGUAAAACUCUGUUGUUAGAGAAGAACACGAGUGAGAGUAACUGUUCAUUCGAUGACGGUAUCUAACCAGCAAGUCACGGCUAACUACGUGCCUAG